rnacentral:lncRNA from 1 species
AUGCCACGAUGGAGAGGGUGGGAUGAUGACGCCCUUCGCGGCAGAGCUCCCGCCGGCUUCGUCGCAGGCAGGACCGGCGUGGGGAGCUCGGGGCUGCCACGUGCCCAGCUGCCGAAUUACCGCCCCGCUUGCUCACUCGCAAGGGAGCAUCCGAGCACGACGCCCUGCAUCCCAGCAAAACCUUGUGCCAGCAGUGCUUCGGACACCCCCGGCCCGCCGGCCUGGGGGGAACCAUUUAUCUCCCGGGAGGGGCAGAGGUUGCAAAUCCUCUCUGGCAGAGGGAAGGAUCCGACAUGCAUUUUUCUGGGGGGAGGGGGGGUUGUCAUGUCCUAUGAAGUGGCCCUCAGCAGCUGGCAAGAAAGUGGGAUGCUCGCGGGCUUCGGAGCGUGGGAGAGCAGGGCUGUUCCCGGCGGGGCUGGCAGGGACACAGGAGGGUUUGCAGCAGGGCUGGUCAUGGGGAUGCAGGCAGGGUUUGCAGGGAUAAGGAGGGGGUUUGCAACAAGGCAAAAGCAAGGAUACAGGGAGGGUUUGCAGCAGGGCUAUGGGGAGGGUUUGCAGCGAGGAUACGGGGAGGGUUGCAGCGGGGCUGGCAGUGGGGACGCGGGCAGGGUUUGCAGCCGGCCUUGCAGCAGGGAUGCAGAUCUGCCGUGGGCCUCCAGCGAGUGGCGCUGCCUAAUCAGAAAACCCCAAACCCGCAGGCUGGAGCCGAGCCGCCCUUCAGCAGGGACCAGCCUGGCCUGGCUGCACGCAGUCCUGAUCCAGCUCCCUCCCCGGCCAUGGAAAAUUUUCCUCUCGGCCUGGGCGCAGAGCCCGCUGCCGGGGGUUAGUCACAGCAUCCCGGCUGCUCUGGCGUCUCGAACCUCCCCGAGCCCCCACGGACGUGAUUAUCCCGGGGCUGUGGGCAAAAAUCCCACCUCCGGAUUUCGAGCCGUCGCCGGCUCCUCGGGAGAGACUCCAGCCCUGCAGCCCUUUGCAUCCCGCAUCCAGGCUGGCUCCUUCCCGGCACGUACCGCGGAGGAGCGCGUGUCAGCCUGCCCCAACCAAACGCCGUCGCUGCCGGGCAGUAACUCGGGCUGCAAACACGAGGACAGGGAAGAACACGCAGCUGCGGGGAGGGCAGCAGCGCAGCUGGAAGCACGCCCUCGCGCUGGACGUUUCCCUCUCUCGCAGCGGCACGUGGCCGUGAUCAUUUUGCACCCGGCGGGUGCAGAGCCGGGCGCGGGAAGGUCCCCCGUGAUUGCACCGGGGUGCAGGCGAUCACAGCAGCGGGGUGACACGUCCUAA